UACGGGAGGCAGCAGUGGGGGAAUAUUGCACAAUGGGCGCAAGCCUGAUGCAGCCAUGCCGCGUGUAUGAAGAAGGCCUUCGGGUUGUAAAGUACUUUCAGUCGUGAGGAAGGUGUUAAGGUUAAUAACCUUAGCAAUUGACGUUAGCGACAGAAGAAGCACCGGCUAACUCCGUGCCAGCAGCCGCGGUAAUACGGAGGGUGCGAGCGUUAAUCGGAAUUACUGGGCGUUAAAGGGCACGCAGGCGGUUAAUUAAGUUGGAUGUGAAAUCCCCGGGCUUAACCUGGGAAUGGCAUUCAAGACUGGUUAGCUAGAGUCUUGUAGAGGGGGUAGAAUUCCAUGUGUAGCGGUGAAAUGCGUAGAGAUGUGGAGGAAUACCGGUGGCGAAGGCGGCCCCUGGACAAAGGACUGACGCUCAUGUGCGAAAGCGUGGGGA
rnacentral:rRNA from 1 species